GACGAACGCUGGCGGCGUGCCUAAUACAUGCAAGUAGAACGCUGAAGGAGGAGCUUGCUUCUCUGGAUGAGUUGCGAACGGGUGAGUAACGCGUAGGUAACCUGCCUGGUAGCGGGGGAUAACUAUUGGAAACGAUAGCUAAUACCGCAUAACAGUAGAUAUCGCAUGAUAUCUACUUGAAAGGUGCAAUUGCAUCACUACCAGAUGGACCUGCGUUGUAUUAGCUAGUUGGUGAGGUAACGGCUCACCAAGGCGACGAUACAUAGCCGACCUGAGAGGGUGAUCGACCACACUGGGACUGAGACACGGCCCAGACUCCUACGGGAGGCAGCAGUAGGGAAUCUUCGGCAAUGGACGGAAGUCUGACCGAGCAACGCCGCGUGAGUGAAGAAGGUUUUCGGAUCGUAAAGCUCUGUUGUAAGAGAAGAACGAGUGUGAGAGUGGAAAGUUCACACUGUGACGGUAUCUUACCAGAAAGGGACGGCUAACUACGUG
rnacentral:rRNA from 1 species